GGUAGAGGUCUGGUAGCGGUGCUGAGUACCUGACAACAGCUGGGUGAUUAAAGUGUUCAGCUCUCCAGGCCUCCUAAGAUGGUUCUGUUUAAUAGUAUACAGGCGCUGCUGUUUCUCCUUGUCGACGUGCUUCUUUUUGUAAAGGCUGAUGAACAUGACCACACGUAUAAACCUAAAGAA